rnacentral:rRNA from 1 species
AGUGAACGCUGGCGGUAGGCCUAACACAUGCAAGUCGAACGGCAACACAGUAAGAGCUUGCUCUUACGGGUGGCGAGUGGCGGACGGGUGAGGAAUACAUCGGAAUCUACUUUUUCGUGGGGGAUAACGUAGGGAAACUUCCGCUAAUACCGCAUACGACCUACGGGUGAAAGCAGGAGAUCUUCGGACCUUGCGCGAUUGAUUGAGCCGAUGUCGGAUUAGCUAGUUGGCGGGGUAAAGGCCCACCAAGGCGACGAUGCGUAGCUGGUCUGAGAGGAUGAUCAGCCACACUGGAACUGAGACACGGUCCAGACUCCUACGGGAGGCAGCAGUGGGGAAUAUUGGACAAUGGGCGCAAGCCUGAUCCAGCCAUACCGCGUGAGUGAAGAAGGCCUUCGGGUUGUAAAGCCCUUUUGUUGGGAAAGAAAAGCAGCAGGUUAAUACCCCGCUGUUCUGACGGUACCCAAAGAAUAAGCACCGGCUAACUUCGUG